GACGAACGCUGGCGGCGUGCUUAACACGUGCAAGUCGAACGGAAAGGCCCUGCUUUUGUGGGGUGCUCGAGUGGCGAACGGGUGAGUAACACGUGAGUAACCUGCCCUUGACUUUGGGAUAACUUCAGGAAACUGGGGCUAAUACCGGAUAGGAGCUCCUGCUGCAUGGUGGGGGUUGGAAAGUUUCGGCGGUUGGGGAUGGACUCGCGGCUUAUCAGCUUGUUGGUGGGGUAGUGGCUUACCAAGGCUUUGACGGGUAGCCGGCCUGAGAGGGUGACCGGCCACAUUGGGACUGAGAUACGGCCCAGACUCCUACGGGAGGCAGCAGUGGGGAAUAUUGCACAGUGGGCGGAAGCCUGAUGCAGCAACGCCGCGUGCGGGAUGACGGCCUUCGGGUUGUAAACCGCUUUCGCCUGUGACGAAGCGUGAGUGACGGUAAUGGGUAAAGAAGCACCGGCUAACUACGUG
rnacentral:rRNA from 1 species